rnacentral:tRNA from 1 species
GGCCUGAUGGUGAAACGGAUGAUCACACCCGGCUUCUAUCCGGGCGUUCCAGGUUCGAAUCCUGGUCGGGCUA